rnacentral:rRNA from 1 species
UACGUAGGGUGCGAGCGUUAAUCGGAAUUACUGGGCGUAAAGUGUGCGCAGGCGGCCGAGCAAGUCGAGUGUGAAAGCCCCGAGCUUAACUUGGGAAUUGCGCUCGAAACUACGUGGCUGGAGUGUGGCAGAGGAAGGUGGAAUUCCACGUGUAGCGGUGAAAUGCGUAGAGAUGUGGAGGAACACCAAUGGCGAAGGCAGCCUUCUGGGCCAACACUGACGCUCAUGCACGAAAGCGUGGGGAGCAAACAGGAUUGAGAAAC